rnacentral:snRNA from 1 species
AUCGCUUCUUGGCCUUUUGGCUAAGAUCAAGUGUAUUAAGCAACUGUCAUAUACCAGAUUUUAGAUGCUUGAUGUUUGAGAUCCAUUGCUAAACACUACAUAAGAUUACUCCUCUUAAAGAUAUAUUUAUUUAGUGGAGAAAAUGGGAAUUUAACUGGAAAUGUACAGUGAAAUCUUUAUUCACACAGUCCACUAAAUACCUAUUUUUGAGGGCUGGCUGUAGAAGCU